rfam:Monodelphis domestica chromosome 1, whole genome shotgun sequence.
AAUUGGCUUAAUCUCAGCUGGCAACUGUGAGAUGUUAAUAAAUUCCCUCACAGUGGUCUCUGGGAUUAUGCUAAAC